rnacentral:lncRNA from 1 species
UUUGUAUGGGAUGAAGCUGAAUACUUGUAUUUACUUUUGUUUUAUUCCCAGAGUUUUUCUUGUUCAUGUGAGUGCUGGCAGCUGCCAGAAGAAAUACUCUGUUUCUGGCCUCCCAUCUUGGUGGGGGAUGUGCAGGCUGAGAACACAGGAGCUGACUUCUCUUGUACCAGCUGAGACUGCAGGGUAGACUGCAAGAAGUGCCUCCUUGCUGAUGGACUGUUGCUUCAGUGGCUCCAGCAAAUAGGGAGUGGAGAAUUGGAUUUCAUGAGGUCUGGACAUUCACCAGCAAAGAUAAUGGUGAAAGACGGGAAGAGGGUGUGGAGAGUG